CUUUGGAGCUCUGACAUAAAACCUCAUAGAUGGGUAAUGCUCGCUUCCUCCAGAAUGUUCCAAAAUACCAACAAAAUGUUACUGCUGUAUCUGUAGAUGGAAAUGAUGAACUCUGCUUCCUUCAAGAAUGAAUUGGCAGAUUUACUCUAUCACCUUGUUAUGUAAUGAAACAACUAUGAACCAGAACCAAGGAUGAGCUUCAUAAGCAUGGGUUCCUUUUGCUCUUCCCGCUA